rnacentral:rRNA from 1 species
CUUAGUGGCGGACGGGUGAGUAACGCGUGGGUAACCUGCCCUAUACUGGGGGAUAACAGCUAGAAAUGGCUGCUAAUACCGCAUGAGCGCACAGUCCCGCAUGGGACAGUGCGGAAAACUCCGGUGGUAUAGGAUGGACCCGCGUCCGAUCAGCUGGUUGGUGGGGUAACGGCCCACCAAGGCGACGAUCGGUAGCCGACCUGAGAGGGUGACCGGCCACAUUGGGACUGAGACACGGCCCAAACUCCUACGGAAGGCAGCAG